CUUGUGAUCAGAUCUGAGUUUUCCGCAGACCUCUUUGGCCUUUGUGUGGCUUGUGGACACCAAAGGGAGUGACGUGCAGGGUGAUGAGUUGGCGGGUAGCUGCAGUUGCCCAGCCAAAGGGAAGAAAUGAGGUCUAAAGAAAAAUGCAGACACCCUUAGAACCACGUACGACCUGUUCAUUAAAAGUGAAUGUAAGAGUUAGCACAAGUUGAUCCGGAAAAGUUCAUUUUUAUCUCUGCCUCCAAUAACUGCUUCAGAUGAGUGUCCUGAACGGGUGCAGCUAAAUGUAAUGCAUCCUGUCGCAGACUGCUUUUGAUACAGAAUUGUGUUAAGCAUUUUGAUGAGGAUCGUACACACCCAAGCGCCAAACCCGGCUCUGUUUCGAGAUUCCAAAUUUCUGAAGGAGACGGGGGGAUAAAUGCAGAAUUCUGCCAUUA